rnacentral:rRNA from 1 species
AUUGAACGCUGGCGGCAGGCUUAACACAUGCAAGUCGAACGCCCGUAGCAAUACGGGAGUGGCAGACGGGUGAGUAACGCGUGGGAACAUGCCCUUUGGUUCGGAAUAACUCAGGGAAACUUGAGCUAAUACCGGAUAAGCCCGAGAGGGGAAAGAUUUAUCGCCGAAGGAUUGGCCCGCGUCCGAUUAGCUAGUUGGUGAGGUAAUGGCUCACCAAGGCGACGAUCGGUAGCUGGUCUGAGAGGAUGAUCAGCCACACUGGGACUGAGACACGGCCCAGACUCCUACGGGAGGCAGCAGAGGGGAAUAUUGGACAAUGGGGGCAACCCUGAUCCAGCCAUGCCGCGUGAGUGAUGAAGGCCCUAGGGUUGUAAAGCUCUUUCGGCGGGGACGAUAAUGACGGUACCCGCAGAAGAAGCCCCGGCUAACUUCGUGCCAGCCGCCGCAGUAAAAC